rnacentral:siRNA from 1 species
CUUCGGAUCUCAUUGGUUUUGGU